rnacentral:lncRNA from 1 species
UCCUUACCGAUUUCUCCUUCACGCAGCCGACGCCAGCGUUUCCCCCAUCCGAUAGCUUCUUCAUGAUCCAACUGCAGCUGAAGCAUACCCCAUCUUCAUCACCCCAUCCCCCAUCAUCAUCAUCACCAUCACCCCACUAGCCCGUAACUCCACUUUCCUUCUCCAUUCUGCCGUGCCAACUCGCUCCAACAACCGCACCAUCCUCCCACCUCCUCCAUGCGUUAGCAAAUCCAGCAUCCCCACACCCGUGUCAGCUCCUUCGUGACUCCCUCACCCACCGUCAGAACAGCGCCCAACACCCCACCUCCUCAUUGCCCGAAGCUACUCAUUCGCCUGUUUCCCCCAACGGCCAGCCCAUUCGAAGCCCACCAGCAGCCCACGAAGUCAGCCCGCCCGCAAGUUUCAGCCCUGUCAACUGAGCUUAGUAGUUCACUAUGGGCUUG